GAUGAACGCUGGCGGCGUGCCUAAUACAUGCAAGUCGAGCGAACGGACGAGAAGCUUGCUUCUAUGAUGUUAGCGGCGGACGGGUAAGUAACACGUGGAUAACCUAUCUAUAAGACUGGGAUAACUUCGGGAAACCGGAGCUAAUACCGGAUAAUAUUUUGAACCGCAUGGUUCAAAAGUAAAAGACGGUCUUGCUGUCACUUAUAGAUGGAUCCGCGCUGCAUUAGCUAGUUGGUAGGGUAACGGCUUACCAAGGCAACGAUGCAAAGCCGACCUGAGAGGGUGAUCGGCCACACUGGAACUGAGACACGGUCCAGACUACUACGGGAGGCAGCAGUAGGGAAUCUUCCGCAAUGGGCGAAAGCCUGACGGAGCAACGCCGCGUGAGUGAUGAAGGUCUUCGGAUCGUAAAACUCUGUUAUUAGGGAAGAACAUAUGUGUAAGUAACUGUGCACAUCUUGACGGUACCUAAUCAGAAAGCCACGGCUAACUACGUG
rnacentral:rRNA from 1 species